rnacentral:tRNA from 1 species
UGCCUUGUCGUCUAGAUGGCAGGACACCGGAGUUUGGUUCCGGUAGCCCAGGUUCGAGUCCUGGCUAGGCAG